rnacentral:rRNA from 1 species
AACGAACGCUGGCGGCAGGCCUAACACAUGCAAGUCGAACGCGUCCUUCGGGACGAGUGGCAGACGGGUGAGUAACGCGUGGGAACGUACCCUUUGGUUCGGAACAACAGCGGGAAACUGCUGCUAAUACCGGAUAAGCCCUUCGGGGAAAGAUUUAUCGCCAGAGGAUCGGCCCGCGUUAGAUUAGCUUGUUGGUGAGGUAAUGGCUCACCAAGGCUACGAUCUAUAGCUGGUCUGAGAGGAUGAUCAGCCACACUGGGACUGAGACACGGCCCAGACUCUUACGGGAGGCAGCAGUGGGGAAUCUUGGACAAUGGGCGAAAGCCUGAUCCAGCCAUGCCGCGUGAAUGAUGAAGGCCCUAGGGUUGUAAAAUUCUUUCGACGGGGAAGAUAAUGACGGUACCCGUAGAAGAAGCUCCGGUACUACGUUCGCGACGACGACGACGCCGGUA